rnacentral:tRNA from 1 species
GUAAAGCAAGCACCGGUUGAAAAACUCUUCUGACUAUCUGACUACGGAUCAGAAGGUUGGGGGUUCGAGUCCCUCCAAGC